AUCUAUUGCUGCUUGGCUUUCUGAGCUUCUGGCAGGAAGUUUCACCCUUAUCUCAGAUCAAGAGAAAGCUGCCAGUAUCACCUCUCCAGUCUUUUAAAGCCUGAGCUUCUGCCUGAGCCCACUCACCACUUCAGGGAUCUGCCAACUCAUGUGGCCCUACACCCAGGUCUCUUUGCGCAAAGGGCAGGAUUUCAACUCCUCUAUCUUCUUCAUCACCCAAAGGGAUUGUGGAGUGCAGAUUUGUGGGUCCACAAUAGCAGGGGAGUGGAAUCUGACCAUUUCUCAAGCCCUGGAAGCCCAUCUUCUAAGAAGGAGGCUGCUCAGGGUUUUCUAGGGAGGGUGAGGGAUGCAACUGCAUUCCUGCCUCUUACCAGAUGUGUGACUCUGGAAAAUCGAUUUAUACUCUGUGAGCCUGAACUUCUCCACUGCAAAAUGGGAAACAAUUGAUACUGUCCCCACAGAAUUGUGUAGGGAAAAUGAGGGAACUUAAGGAAAUGUUUGGUGCAUAAUAUAACUUCAGCAAAUGUUUGUUCUGCUCACCAUGACUCCUCACCACGAUAAAAGAGACUUCGACAUAAAAGAAAGAGCAGAACUGUCAGAGCAUUUGGAAAUGUAGCAACAAGAAAGGAAAUGUAUAGGCAUUUACAUAAUGUAUGAAUUUGGGUGCCAUCUCAGUUGUAGAAUGUUAUCAGAAGAAUUUGGAGAAAGGGAAGACAAUAUUGUACUAUUUCCUUGUAUUCUAUUGAAUUUCUGUCCCUGUUACUUCACUUUCUACUUGAACAUCUGAAGAAAUAGUUUUCCAGUAAGUUCUGGAAAAAGGAGACAGUACAGGGGAACCAAAUAUAAUAAGGACCAUUGGAUCUUAGAUGAGUCACUUCCUCUGUGCUGGCCUCAUCUCUAACACCAAGUCACAUGCAAUAUAACUGGUUAGGGGGUUUGGGCUUUGGGUGCUAUUGUUUUCUGGUUGCAUGACCUUUAGCAAAUUUUUUAACCUCUCUGAGACCCAUUUAAAAAUAUUUCAAAUGGCUGUUAUAAUGGCAACAACAUCAUUAGGCUGUACUGAAAAUUAAGUGAGAACAUGCAUGUACAGCAUUUAGUAAAGUGUCUGGCACUAAGUAAUCAAUAAAUGUUAUCAUCAUGUUCCUUUAUUAUUGGCUUUUUCAAGACCAUCAGAAGAAUAAUAAAGGGUUUGGGGCUGGGAAGAAUGUAGUGUUUCACCUUAGAUGACAGGUUCUAUUACGCUGCAGCAUUAAAAGGGUUCAGUGGUGGUGCAAGAACUGACAUACAUAUUAAUGGGACAGAAUAGAAAAAUAAGAAGCAGAACCAAGUGUACAGAGACAUUGAGAAUUUCAUAAAUGUGGCAUUUGCUGUUACUUAAUAAUUCAUAGACGCUAAGAAUUGAUGUUGGGUCAUUUUAAACUGUUCACUAACAAAAGAAUGGGAAAUCUUAUUCUCAUGCCAUAUGAUAUAAUGUGAAGCAUUAGUACACACCACCACCUAUCUAUCCAGUAUGAUUGCAGUUCCAUAAAAUGGGUAUGCAGCUGUACACAUAUUUGCAUGUAUGUGUAUAUUUCUAGUUUCAAUGAGAUUCAAGAAACUAUGAACACUGUUUAUCAAUGAGAGUAUGAUUGGAAGUUACUUGUAUCUUUUUAUACCUGUCUGUACUUUUGAUAAUAUCCUAAAUGGGCAUGGAUUAUUUUUACAAACAGAAACAAAGCCUGUAAAAGCUUUUAGUAGCUAGGGAACACAAGGGAGUGUGAUAGGUUGGAAAGAGAAAAUGUUUUGGGGCUAUACAUACCUUGUGUUCUCCUCUGGCUUUGCCCAUUGCUAGGGGGUGACCAAAAGGUAAGGUACUUAACUCUUCUGAUUUCCCAUUUUCUUGUUCUAAAGAGGAGGAAAGUAAUCCUUUCAUUGCAGAGUUCUUGAAGUAAUCUGAUGGAAUUAUCAAAAUAUAGAUAAAUAUGCUGUGCUUUAUAUUAAACUGUACUGGAGAUUCCAUCCCAGCUCUUACCCCUACAAGUUUCUUCACCCUCUGAACUUCAGUUUCCUUAUCUUGGAAUUGGUUAUAACAUUGAUCUUGAAAUAGUAUGUAUAUUAGCUGUCCAACACAGUGCCAUAAUAGGCACAACUCCCCCUAUUCCAGGUAACUAUUUCCAAGAACAUUAUAUAUCCUAGUAAUAUAAAAGAAAGAGGUGAUUUUUUUUUAUGACUGGGGGCCUAAGAAUUGGUGGUAAUUCUUAUUUUCUUCAAAUAAUCUUAUUUUUUCCAUUUAAUUAAGUAUUUUAUAUCCUGAGGAGCCUUGAUCCAGCCAUUCUGUUCUGAGGAAUUUAUCUUACAACAAAACAUGUUUCAAGAAUUUCCUAUUUGAAACCAUGGUACAACCAUGGUGAUUGUGCAUAUAUUUUUGGAACUUUUGUAAGAUUUUCCAUAGGAUAAAUUCCUGAAAGUAAAAAAUUUUAACCAAAACAUAUGGCAUUGCCAAAUGCAGAUUUAAAAUGUUCAAUACCAAUUUCUAAUCCCAUGCACAGUGGUGGUAUUUCCUUUCCCUGAAUUCAUCUCAUCAGUUAAAAAGGGGCUUAGGCACUUUGACACUGCAAUUCCUGUUGCAGAAAUUUGUCCUGCAGGACAGUCUGUACAGAGCUAUAUAUUGCAAGGCUUGGAGUUUACCCUGUGGUUGAAGCACAGGGACCAAGGAAAAAAAGUGUUGAAGAUCACUGAAGUGAAAUAGUUCAAGUGAUGAGUCAUGCACUCUAGGCUGGAUCGGGAAGGAGCGUGCACAUUUUAGGGGCCUGAUACACUGAAAGGCUCAGGGGUUGGGUUCCAUGGUUCUUUCCUCCCCUGUUCUCGUCUCCUCCCACUGGAACUCUGCGCACUCCUCUGUGUCAGGCCCUGGGAUUGCUGCUAUACACAGUUUUACCUCCCUUAAUCCUCACAACAUUUUCAGCUCCAUUCUCUAGAUGAGAAAACUGAGGCUCUGACAGGUAUUCAUCGAAUCUAAGACGCCACACUAUUUUAGGGACUACUAGGAAAAGCAAAAUUCUGGCUAUUAUAAUGGUAAGACAGCACUAAUUUAGGUGUUAAAAGUGAAAAAAUAUAUGCCUCUGAGACACGGGGAAAUGUUAUAGCUUGUGUAGCUUGCAUCUAUUACAUGAAAAAAUUGAGGUUGGAGUCUAUUUCCUUCUGGUAUCAGAUGUUAUGCUGUUGCCAUAAUUUAGGACCACAGUGGUAAAUUAGACUUGUACCAAUCAGGUAAUGCCCUCUUCUCUUAUUGUCCUAUUGGGUUUUUUAUAUUUAUUGUGUGUUUUAUAUUUAUUUAUAUACAAACAAAAAUAAUGUAUACAUACAAAUAUAAUGUAUAUACACAAAUAUUUAUAUUCAUUUCUGAUAGCCAGGUGUUAGUUUUUCCCUCCUGUGUAGUGGUUGUGUGACCUUGGGCAAGUCACUGCAUAUCUAUGUGCCACAUUAUCUCCAGCUUUAUUAGGAUGGACUCCAACAUUAGGAUCACUUUAAGCCAUUCACAUUUUGUAAUUUAAAAUUUCCACUUGCCUGACAUUUAGCCUUCUGUCGCUGUGCGUCCUUCCUGUCGGGGGUUGAUUGGGGUCAAGUGGGAUGGUGGAGGGUGUUCUCUUUGAAAGAUGCCUGCAGUAGCAUUGCUAAGUAAUGGGACAUACCCCUUCAUUUUUCAUCUUAAUAGAAUCCACAUUGCCAUAAGGAAUUCUCUUAAUGCAGAACGCAUACAUACCAAAAUAAAUGGGAAGCGUCCGGAUGUUGGAAAUAAUUCAAACAGCACCUUGUAAAGGGCAUGCCUACAAAAUAUAUGGAAGGUUUACUAAAAAGUAGAAAAUAAAUGGUUUUGGUUGGGCUUUAAAAUUCUAGUUGCA
rnacentral:lncRNA from 1 species